GUGCAGAAUCAGUUAGCCAUAAUGAACGGACAUUUGUAAUUUAUUGUUUCUUAUGGGUUAUAAUAUUUCAAUUUUAAAUACACCAUAAGGAUUUCGAGGAAUCGUUUAGUUGUUAACCCAGAUCUAUCAAGAUGUGCAUGCACAGUGUGUGGAUGUAAAAGUGUAAGGAUGUAAAACUAGACAUAUAUGGUCCAAUGGUGCUGAUUCAUUGAUCAUGUUUUUGUUUUUUUUAAAUAGCCAGUAGGUUUUAAUUUUGUUACCACUGAUUUGGCAUUCAGUGUACAAGACUGCAUUUACCAAGACUUUUGUUGGAUAUGCUGGUAGUGCCCAUACAAUGUCAUGAGUUCAGAGGAAAAUUAGGUUGAUAUAUUUUGUAUCCUAAUUUUUUAUAUAAAAUGUUUUUAUUGUUAGCAGUUGCAAGGAGUCAUUGUAAAAUUUGCUCCCAUAAGGAUUAACAGUGUGUGAUAUUUAAUAAAUUGUAAAAAUAAUUGCAGGGAGAGGUCACCUCUUUUUCCUAAGCUAGAAAUAUGUUUUAAAAAUUUAUCAUUAUAUCUUACAUUUGUAUGCUGUUUCUCAUUGUUGCAUGUCCAAAGUUAAUGGUGAAGAUGUGACUUUGACAAUGUGUUAAAGUUUGAUUGAUUGAAGUUUUUUUUCCGAUUUAGUGUGAAUUAUUCG